UACAGAGGUCUCAAGCGUUGUUCGGAUUCACUGGGCGUAAAGGGUGCGUAGGCGGUCGGGUAAGUCUGAUGUGAAAUCUCACAGCUUAACUGUGAAACUGCAUUGGAUACUAUCCGGCUCGAGGAAUGGAGGGGAGACUGGAAUACUUGGUGUAGCAGUGAAAUGCGUAGAUAUCAAGUGGAACACCAGUGGCGAAGGCGAGUCUCUGGACAUUUCCUGACGCUGAGGCACGAAAGCUAGGGGAGCGAACGGG
rnacentral:rRNA from 1 species